rnacentral:tRNA from 1 species
GCCUGGGUGGCUCAGUCGGUUGAGCAUCCGACUUCGGCUCAGGUCAUGAUCUCAUGGUUUGUGGGUUCAAGCCCCACGUCAGACU